GAUCAUUUUUAGGAAGAGGGAGAACAGAAAGGAAAGGAAACAAACUUCUCCUGAACGUCCGCUCUAAGUUUGCUCUUCAUCCUCACGGCAGUCCUGUGAUGGGGCUUUUAUUAUCCCUGCUGUCACGGAGGGAGGACUUCGGUCUCCAGAGGCUAAGGAACUUGCCCAGGAUUGUAAGGUAUGUGAUCGCCAGCCCUCACCUGAACUGGAAAAUAUUCUUAAGAUAAAUAUCUUGAAGGAACUGCAUUGUGGUGGUCAGGCAUCCUCAGAGACCCAAUGCUAGAAGAGGAGAAGGCAUCUCGCAAACAUGAGGAUGAACACAGUGCACUAAGGAUGACCUGGGUCUUUCAAGACACCCCGGAGUAGCUCCACCCAUCUUGACUUCCUACCAUUCACCUUCUUGUUUUGUUUAACAAUAAUCUUAUACCUAGGAUGACGGUCAUUGCCUCCACACCACUUCUCAACGUGCUGUCCUGCCUGUCUCAGUGUACUUCUCAUACCAGCCAGAGCGACCCCCUCGUUCCCCUGCCCGCCUCGCCUCUGGCUUUGCUCACAUUCCUCCUUCCCUAUGAAGCGCCCUGUCUGCUCAGCCCCACUUUCUGAAAAUCCUUUUUAAUCUUUGCGAGCCAAGGCACCUCCUCCAAGAAGGCUUCCCGUAUUCCCUCCGGUCUAACUUUUACUACCUAUGGAUCUUGGUUAAAUUAUUUAAUUUAAUGAUGGAAUUCUUUUACUCAUUUGUAAAGUGGGGAUGAUAAUAUUCACUUUAUAGGUUGUUGUGGGCAUUAAGUGAUAUAAAAUGUCUAAGUUAAUUUGAGAGUUCC
rnacentral:lncRNA from 1 species